GGCCAGGAAGGCAGUUCCCUGCCAGCAGCCAAGGGGGAAGGAGCUCUCCUGGAGCAAGCAAAGGGGAGAGGCCUGAUUCCUAUCAAGGUCAGCCUGGAUCACCAGCCUAUCCUCAGGUGUGGAUGCUCUACCCCAAAGUUUGGUGUCAUCGGCGAACUUGGCCAGUCCACUUCUGACACCAGUGUCCACAUCAUUUAAUGAAGACAUUAAAGAGUAGAGGUCCGAGGAUGGAGCCUUAGGGAACACCACUGGACACAGAGCACCAUGAUGAUUCACUUCUGUCAACUACCACUCUCUGGGUCUGACUUUGGAGCCAAUUCCCCAGCCAUUGGACUGUGGUGUAGCUGAGGCCGCAAUUGGCCAAUUUUUCCAUCGUGGGACACCAGAUCAAGGCUUUUUAAAGGGAUUGAGGUCAAGCUGAUUGGCUUGUAGUUCUCCAAUGUAAGGGGCUGGAAGACACUCACCCAGGAUGCCUUACCAAGCAGGAACAAAGACCUCACUGAAGCAAGACUUCCAUGCUGUGGUGGGAGCUCCUGGUUCACCCCAGCCCAGCUUUACCACCUUGGCAGUUCCAGGGAGGUGCGGAUCCAUUGCUGCGGGCUGUUCAUUUGAGCCUGAGACAGCCGCGGCAAAAUGAAGAUUUUAAAAGGAAACAGACAACUCCCAGGUGGAGGGAAGAAGGAUCUGCUGCCCCAGUGGCUCCGCCGUGGGACCCGGGGAUGCAAAGCUGGUACAGGCCAGGGAGAGUGUGACGGGGAACACCAAACCCUCCCCUGUGUACGCUGCCUAACAGCGGCAAGGAUUUCCCCUGCUUGUUAAGGGGUCGGACGCCACCAAUUAAGUCCAGCAGGGCAGCAAUUAGCAGAAGAUAACAGCAGACUCCCCAAUGUGUUGAGGAAUGCAGGGAAAACCCAAGCCUGUGAGGAAGCCACCACCACACCUGUGGAAUGACGGGAACCCAAGUAUCUUGGUUCAGCAGCAGUCGGACUAAAAAGGGAAAGAAAAAAAACCCAGAAAUAUAUAUAUAAUAAAAGAAAGGAACAAAAGAAAAGAAAGA